rnacentral:rRNA from 1 species
UAAAAUUAAUAUAUAAUUUUAUAUUUCCCGAAUGUUAAAGAGCUAAAACUUUAUAUAUAUUAAUGUAAAAUAAUUAUUUUUAAUAAAGGUUUUGGAAUAAUAUGUUAGUCGAUUUAACUUAUAUCUGGUUUUUAAAGAAAUUAAUUUAAUUAAGCUUAUUAUUGGUUGUUUUUAAAUUUUAAUAGACAAUUAAUUUUGAAGUAAUAUUUAAAGGGAUUAGCUUUUAAGUAGAAUUAUAUAAUUUAUUAAAUUUUUAUUAUUCGUAGGAUUAGAGGUGUUCAUUGAUAAAAAUGUGUUAUAACUUAUAUAAAUAAGAAAAGAUUUGUUUUAAGUUUAUUUAUUUAUUUAAAGUUUCAGUUUAAUUUUAUAAUUGAAGGUAUAAUGAUAGAAUUAGUAUAUAUAUUAUUGUAAAUUUUAUUUAUUAAGGUAAGGUAAUUUAAAGGAACUCGGCAAAUUACUUUUUGCCUGUUUAAUAAAAACAUGGCCUUUUGAGAUUAUAUAAGGUCAGGCCUGCCCAAUGAUUAAUUUAAUGGCCGCGGUAUUCUGACCGUGCAAAGGUAGCAUAAUCAUUAGUUUUUUAAUUGAAAGCUUGUAUGAAUGGUUUGACAAGAAAGUGACUGUCUUUAUUUUAUUUAAUUAGAAUUUUAUAUUUUAGUCAAAAAGCUAAAAUAACUUUAAGGGACGAGAAGACCCUAUAGAAUUUUAUAAUAUUUAAUGUUUUUUAUUUUAAGAAUUUUUAUAUAAAAUAUUGAAUACUAUUUUGUUGGGGUGACAAGAAAAUUUAAUUAACUUUUCUAUUAUUUUUCAUUGAUUUAUGUUUUAUUGAUCCGGAUUUUCUGAUUUUAAGUUUAAAUUACCUUAGGGAUAACAGCGUUAUUAGGUUGGAGAGUUCUUAUCGAUACCCUAGAUUGCGACCUCGAUGUUGGAUUAAAAUUUACUUUUGGUGUAGAAGCUGAUUGGUUAAGUCUGUUCGACUUUUAAAAUUUU